rnacentral:rRNA from 1 species
CCUACGGGAGGCAGCAGUGAGGAAUUUUCCGCAAUGGGCGAAAGCCUGACGGAGCAAUGCCGCGUGGAGGAGGAAGGCCUGUGGGUCGUAAACUCCUUUUCUCAGAGAAGAAGUUCUGACGGUAUCUGAGGAAUAAGCAUCGGCUAACUCUGUGCCAGCAGCCGCGGUAAUACAGGGGAUGCAAGCGUUAUCCGGAAUUAUUGGGCGUAAAGCGUCCUGAGGUGGCUUACCCAGUCGACUGUGAAAGCUCAAGGCUUAACCUUGAAACGGCAGUCGAAACUUGUAAGCUUGAGUACGGUAGGGGCAGAGGGAAUUCCCGGAGGAGAGGUGAAAUUCGUAGAUAUCGGGAGGAAGGCCAAAGGCGAAAGCACUCUGCUGGGCCGAUUACUGACACUGACAGACGAAAGCUAGGGGAGCGAAAGGGAUUAGAUACCCCUGUAGUCCUAGCCGUAAACGAUGGAUACUAGUAGUUGUCGCGACUACAAACGUAGCAGUGCUGCAGACGUAACCGGUACCGGGUAACGGUUAACGUUACCCCGGUCCCGGUCGGGGGUAGGGUAGUUCGGCCCGGCCGAACGGGGUAGGAAACCGUAACGAAACGUAAGUAAGUUAGGUUACGGCGUGGUUAGUUACGUCG